GCCCUUGUAGCUCAGUUGGUAGAGCACCUGAUUUGUAAUCAGGGGGUCAUCGGUUCGAGUCCGGUCGGGGGCACCA
rnacentral:tRNA from 1 species